GGACUAGUGGCAAAUGACUAAGACCUGGAAAAGCUGAACCCUAAAAAAGGCAGUAAGAAAAGCCUAGAAGCAACCUACACUGCACCUCAGUAAGGUUGAUGGUUUGCCCACAAAGAAAUUUUGGAAUUCUACUUCUCUAAGGACAAAUACACACAGAUGCAUAUACAAGGAUAUUUACUGGAGCAUUGUUUAUAACAGAAAAAUACCAAAAACAUCCUGAAAUGAUUGAAUACAAGGAAUUGGUUAAAUAAUUUAUAUCUACUCAACCAGUAGAAUACCAUAAAAUGGUGACAUAGAAAUGAAGACAGGUUACCUGAUUGAUGGCUCCCAACAUCUCAGCCCUACUGGCCACUCGUGCUGCACACUGGCUAAGAAACUUUAUACUCUUCUCCAGCUUCUUAAUGAUUUCCUGUGCCUGGUUGUCAUCUUCACACAGAGGUGUUAAAGACUGUAUAGAAAACAGCAUAUUAAAAGAUAUCUAACACAAGCA
rnacentral:lncRNA from 10 species